GUGGGCUACGGGGACGUGGCGCCGUCCUCCCCCGUCGGAUACGUCGUGGGUACUGCCUGCGCCGUUUGCGGGGUUCUUUUCAUGGCCCUGACCUUUCCCGUCAUCUCCAACAAC
rfam:Biomphalaria glabrata isolate BB02 linkage group LG4 unlocalized genomic scaffold LG4_random_Scaffold430, whole genome shotgun sequence.